rnacentral:lncRNA from 1 species
GAGAAGCGGAAGAGAAUAAGGAUUUAAGAAAAGAAGGCUUUGAGAGUAUCAUCAAGGCAAAGGCAUUGGUUGAGUCUCAUUGCCCUUCUCGUGUCUCUUGUUCUGAUAUUCUCGCCAUCGCUACUCGAGAUUUCAUCCACCUGGUAAUUAAUAAUCCCAAUACUUUUAAUACUUCCUAUAUUCAUAUAAUUCGAUACUAGCUAAACCGUUUCCUCUGGUUCUAGGACCGAUUCUUACAUGCCCAAAUGGUUCUAGGACCGUUUCAACUAAACCGGUUUUGGAUAUAGUUUUUGGCUUUGGUUCAACUUAAUUAUACUUGAUUUUUAGUAACUUUGAUUUUGAAAAUGAUUAAGAUCGUUAAUGGUGUAUGAAUCUACGUGUCAUUGACAAAUAUGCUUUGUGUUGACUCCGAAAUUAGGCAGGUGGGCCCUACUAUCAAGUAAAAAAAGGUAGGUGGGACGGUAAAAGAUCAACGGCAACGAACGUCCCUCCAAACAUACCUCGAUCAAACUCCACCGUCGAUCAGCUCAUCAAGCUCUUCGCGUCCAAAGGACUAACCGUAGAGGAUCUCGUCGUUCUUUCCGGGUCCCACACAAUCGGUUUCGCC